AGCAGAAUAUGCUAAAAACUUUGUAGUUUCCAUCCAGAGAAUCAGUAGUCAGUAAAAAACACAGUUGAAGACAAGUGAUUUCUUUCGUUGUUAAAUUUUCACCCGUCCAAACACACUGGCCAAAGAGACCCAGAGGGAAGGAGAGAAAUGAGUCCCCAUCUUCUUCUUUCUCAGAUGAACCUCACUACUCUCUCUUUUCCUUACAAAUCUCUUAAAAAUCUAUCCUUUAUAUCCACUAGCAAUCACUCACUUCUUUCCCCGUCUCUUCACUUCAACUCCAAUCUCCUCCUUCAAUCUCCAGGACAUAAAUUCAAGCUGACCCAGAAGCCCAAAAUCCUCCCUUUUACUGCCAAGAGCUCUGCUCAAGUUGAUGAUAUAUCUGGAGUUGUUAAAGAGAAGAGUGUUUCUGUUAUUCUGUUGGCUGGAGGGCAGGGAAAAAGAAUGGGUGCAAACAUGCCAAAGCAGUAUCUACCACUUCUUGGCCAACCUAUUGCUUUGUAUAGUUUGUACACUUUCUCAGAAAUGGAUGAAGUGAAAGAAAUUAUUGUAGUUUGUGAUCCAUCCUACAAGGACAUUUUUGAAGAUUCUCAAGAACAGAUCAAUGUAGACCUUAAAUUUGCACUGCCAGGAAAGGAGAGACAAGAUUCUGUAUACAGUGGGCUUCAGGAAGUUGAUUUGAAUUCCGAGCUUGUCUGCAUCCAUGACUCGGCAAGGCCUCUGGUAUUGUCAGAAGAUGUGGAAAAGGUCCUUAAAGAUGGUUGGAUAAAUGGAGCUGCUGUACUUGGUGUUCCUGUUAAAGCUACAAUCAAGGAGGCAGAUGGUGAAUCUUUCGUAGUGAGAACUCUUGACCGCAAAACACUUUGGGAAAUGCAGACCCCCCAGGUGAUGAAACCCGAGUUGCUUAAGAAAGGCUUUGAGCUGGUGAACAGCUAAUAGCCAGAGGGCUCAGUCAAGUGGGAUCUGGUGUCUCCAAGGAAUUUAUAAUGGGGAUGGCUUUGGAGAGUAUAUUGGUCCUCCUGAAAUUUGAAUCGGCCUUCCAUUAAUAUUAAGAUAAGCUAUACUGACUACACUUGGCUGUGUCAUUUUCUCAUCGAUAAAUUCUGUGGAUGCUGAAAAUUUGAGGUCUUUCUAUUGCUGAAAUUUCAGAAACAAGAGAGAGGACCGGUGUAAUUAUUGAAAAUUUUGGUCCAUGUAAUUCACCCUAAUGCUGGUUUGGUGACCAAUACCUAGUAAGAAAGUUUCCUAUUAAUAGUGAGUGUGCAUUCUGUAUAAUGAAAUUGAACCACUUUCUUGUCUCUCUCUAGAGGAAGAAAUCGUCUGAAAAAGACCAACUGAAGCUUUCCUCUUCCCCAGAGCUGCUCUAGAGGGUCUUGAAGUCACCGAUGAUGUAUCUAUUGUUGAGCACCUUAAGCAUCCAGUAUACAUCACUGAAGGAUCAUACACAAACAUCAAG